UGGGGAAUUUUGGACAAUGGGCGCAAGCCUGAUCCAGCCAUGCCGCGUGCGGGAAGAAGGCCUUCGGGUUGUAAACCGCUUUUGUCGGGGAAGAAAAGCCUUGGGUUAAUACCCUGGGGUGAUGACGGUACCCGAAGAAUAAGCACCGGCUAACUACGUGCCAGCAGCCGCGGUAAUACGUAGGGUGCAAGCGUUAAUCGGAAUUACUGGGCGUAAAGCGUGCGCAGGCGGUUGUGUAAGACAGAUGUGAAAUCCCCGGGCUCAACCUGGGAACUGCAUUUGUGACUGCACAGCUGGAGUGCGGCAGAGGGGGAUGGAAUUCCGCGUGUAGCAGUGAAAUGCGUAGAUAUGCGGAGGAACACCGAUGGCGAAGGCAGCUCACUACGGAUGUAUUGACACUGAGGCACGAAAGCGUGGGGAUCAAACA
rnacentral:rRNA from 1 species